UAUAAAUUGAUUACAUUGGUUAUCAUUGAUGUUUAAGCGCUAAAUAUGUCAUUGUAAAAUGUUUACAUUGGUUACGUUCUCAAUAUGUUAUUGUAAUAUGUCCACAUUGGUCAUCUUCAAAAGCUUAAUUUCUGUGUCAUAAACAAGAGUGUUAUUAGAUGGUUUUGGAACCAAACCACAGUGAAGAACAUAAGGUUUUAUGUAACUGUGAUAUUUAUUACUGCUCCUUUUCUGGUGUACAACAUGUAUUCAUGCCCUCUAAUUGUAUGGGUCUUCUAACAUUGUUUAUGGUAAUAACCUUUUGAUUCAGGUAUUUGCCCUUCUCUUAUGCUCCAGCCACCUAUGAAAAUAGGCACACUUGUAGGCUGAUAUAUUUUCCUUAGAUGAUGUCCUAUAAAAAGAUAGCUACUCAGGGAUCCAACCACAACAGCAACUAUCAUUGGCAAUAAUAACAGUUUAACUAUAUUUUUAUUCCAAAAUGCUUAUAUCCAGGUAAAAUUAUAAUAGUUGAGUUCACUACUCCUCUUACAAUGCUAAUGUUAUUGAUCUUCUCUUCUGGGUGUUCAACAACCAAAUUUAGAGACCAAAACUGAAGAGGUAUUUGGGCUAAGAAGGCAGCCAAUAUUUUGGCCCUGGCCCUCCAAGGUCAACAACAAUAACAAAAAGAUCCAGGACAUGAGGGAACCAUCUCUGAGAUCCUGCAUUUUUGGUGAGUCAUCCAACCUCCUGAGCAGGGAGGUUGCUGAACACCAAAACAGUAAAGAUCCAACAAAAAGUGUGCCAAAGGAAUGUCACCUGGAGGAAAAAAAUCUCCCAUGCUUUCGCAGGAAGCAACAUGGUCAAGCAAGGCCGUGACAUAUCCUUAUGGCUGACACUGACAGAGGAGCUAAGAGGCUCUAUGCAUGGUUCCAAGACAGUGCCUGUGGAGACUUAAUUGACCUUGUUAGAUAACAAGAGAUUGAUUUUAUUUAAUAUAGGUCUCACCGUAACUUGGUCUUAAACACCCAGUAGAAAAGUAUAACUAAAGAC
rnacentral:lncRNA from 1 species